ACGACUACAUAUCAGGCAUAUCAAUAAGCGGAGGAAAAGAAACUAGCUAAGGAUUCCCUCAGUAACGGCGAGUGAAGCGGGAAGAGCUCAAAUUUGAAAUCUUUCAAGGUUUCUACCUUGACGAAUUGUAGUUUAAAGAAGUGUUUUCUGUUGAAGUUUUGGUAAAAGUUCUUUGGAAUAGGACAUCAUAGAGGGCGAGAAUCCCGUAUUUGACCAUUAUUUUCAGCUGUGUGAUACACUUUCAAAGAGUCGGAUUGUUUGGGAAUCGCAGUCCAAAAUGGGUGGUAAAUUUCAUCUAAAGCUAGAUAUUGGCGAGAGACCGAUAGCGAACAAGUACCGUGAGGGAAAGAUGAAAAGAACUUUGAAAAGAGAGUUAAACAGUACGUGAAAUUGUCAAAAGGGAAGCGUUUGACACCAGUGUUGUUUCUCUCGAAAAUCAAUUAAAAAAAGUUGGAUUUUGUGUUGUAUUGACCUUAACAGCUUGCUUCACUCUUUUCCAGCUUUUUUUAAUGCACUUUUCGUUUAACAAGUCAACAUCAGUUUCUUUUGUUGUAAAAGGGUCAUUGGAAGGUGGCUUUCUCUUCGGAGAAAGUGUUUAUAGGCCUUUGAUCUCUGCAAUCGGAGAGACUGAGGUCUGCAGCGUAGAUCCUUCGGGGUUAGAUACAUUUGUGCUAAGCUACAGCUUUUCAUAGACAACUUGUUGACUAUGUUUAGUCUUGUGACUUACCCGCUUAUGCUAUUUUACCUACGCUUAGGAUGUUGAGCGCAUGUCUCUCUCU
rnacentral:rRNA from 1 species